rnacentral:rRNA from 1 species
GAUGAACGCUGGCGGUAUGCUUGACACAUGCAAGUUGAACGCAAAUCUUUUAGGUUCGAGUAGCGAACGGGUGAGUAACACGUGAGAAUCUACCUCUAGGAGGGGCAUAAAAAACCCCAUAUGCCGCAAGGUGAAAUGGAUUUAAUAAUUCGCCUGGAGAUGAGCUCGCGUCUGAUUAGCUAGUUGGUGAGGUAAUAGCUCACCAAGGCCACUAUCAGUAGCUGGUCUGAGAGGACGAACAGCCACACUGGGACUGAGAUACGGCCCAGACUCCUCCGGGAGGCAGCAGUGGGGAAUUUUCCGCAAUGGGCGAAAGCUUGACGGAGCAAUACCGCGUGAUGGAUGAAGGCUCGUGGGUCGUAAACAUCUUUUCCCAAGGAAGAAGCUCUGACGGUACUUGGGGAAUAAGCAUCGGCUAAUUCCGUGCCAG